rnacentral:lncRNA from 10 species
ACACACAGAGACACACCGCGACACACACACACACACGCGCGCAUACACACAGCCCGACACACACGCACGCGCGCUUCUUAAAGGAGACGGCUCAUAAAGGAUUCCCCACUACGCCAGCAGAGGGGAAGAGGAGCCCACGGGAAAGAAAAGCAGGCGAGGUUAAGAAUAAAGAGUGUUCCAGGUAUGACAGCUACCUCGGUGAGGUGGAAGAGAGAAUUGACAAGGCAAAUUUCAUGGGUGAGUUGGAAAGGCAAGAAGCAGGACUACAAGAGGUCCUAUGUGGUAAGCAGAUGGAAAAUUCUGAGAAUGGUUUGCCAAAAAUUGUAUUAGACUGCAAUAACUUUUAUCCAAUAAAAGAAAAAAAGGCUGAGGAAUGGGACUUUGCAGCUGUUGCUGUAAAAAUGUAAGAAAUGCCCACCCAACUUGACCCAAGACCCAAGAAGUUCUCAGGGAGACCUUCCUGACAGUCUGCCUUGUGCCCAGCAUGUGCUGCCCACAAAAUAAUUUUGAAGAUGUAAUAAAAAGCAAUGUCUUAUAUUGUAUAGUACAUUAGAAUAUUCAGAAUGUUUCCAGACAUAGUAUCUCAUUUAAUUCUCACACCAUCUCUGAGGAUUUUGUUUUUAUUUUACAGAUGAAGUAAAUGAUAGCAAUA